rnacentral:tmRNA from 1 species
CCCUAGAUCUGUAUCUCUCCCAGUUUUCCAUCUCAUGCAAGUUUCCCAUAAUUAAAAUAUCCACUGUGAAUCCUACCCUUCUGGCGUUUACCAAGAAGAAAUAUCUGGCUAGUGUUGUGUCUGAUCAACCCAUCGAGGUCCCUGCUCCAUCUGCCCGGCCUGAUCCUGUGAGGUUUACUGCUGCGGUGCCCUUAGCUUCUGAUGAGCAGUCUCUGGUGAAAGCUUUACAUUCCAGUACCGGGACAGUCCAGUGUGGAAAUCCAUUUUAUUAUAUGAUGACCAGACUUUGCUUGUAUGGACUAAUGCAUGGUAGGGGGGGAAUUGUGCCAGUUUCCAGCUCUAGUAAGCAGAGUGUAUAUGAUGUGGCUAUAAGAUUUAUAGGUUCUAGGAUAUUGAGCCCGAUAGUGAGGCUGCCAAUUUUAUCCAGGGCUUUGGCAGACCUGGCGCUGACGGGGCACGGUCAUCAGAUAACAGUGUGUAAUGAAUGUGGCCACUGUUUAAAUUUGGGCAGGGAUAAAUUUCUUGCAGUAAAUUUUUCCCCCACAAGUAUGUUUUAUUGCAGAGAUCAAAAGGAGAAACAGUUUAACAUAUGUGCUACAACUGGGAGGAUCUAUUGUUCAUAUUGUGGGGCGACAGAGUUUACAGUGUAUGACAUGGUGGGAAGGUAUGCUACGGGGGAGCCUUUUAUUAGGGCGGUUUCCUCAGCUAACUCCCUUAGUAUUUUAGAUAAUAGCGAACAGGAGUGUGAUAUACUGAUCCCUUGUUUUGGUAAAUCUAGGUCUUGCAGUAUUAAGCUGAGGGCGACAUUUAGGGAGCUACUUUAUUUGACAGCGUCUGUUGAUAAUUUUAUUUGUCAAAAGUGUUCCAAUAAGGGUGAUGAAUAAAGACAGGGUCAAAGCUCCAGCUUUCCACCCAGAGCUCCAUAACAAGCUUUUGGAAAGGCUUAAGGCUGCCUAUGGAAAGGACAGUAUUGGCAAAGACCCAGAAGAAGCCCCAGUUCCCCUGUUGUUGCAUACCUGUGCAGUUAGAUUCUAUGAAGAGUACAAAGAAUUGACACGUGAUAACACAUUGCCUACAUUGGUAAACAAGAAAGGAUUCCCGGGGGAUGCCAAAAUGAUGGACCCUGUCUUGGGUAUCUAUCACUCUGGAAAAAAACAGGGAGCAUCAAGUGUCCCUUCCUCUUCUGGAGCAUUUGACGGAGGGAGCCACGGUGGCCCUCUACCUUCUGUUGAUCUUCCUCAAAGGGAGGGAGGCCUGUGGUACGGACUGGGCCCUGACAAGUCUGGACUGGGUUUUGUGCUCCCCUCUGAUCCAGGGUCUAUGUCUGACGGGAACAGCUUUAGGGUUAUUCCAGACCCCUCAUCUCUAACAGACAAGGAUGACCAGAACUUGGGGGAAUCGACCAAAACAAGGAGUGGAAAUGGAAAGAAAAAGUAGACCCUUGACCAAAGACUGUUAAAUGUAAAGCUGUUUUAUUCUUUUUAGAGUAGACAGCAUAUAUGAUGAAUGGUCGUGUACACUUUUGAUUAUCUUCUCAAUAAAUAAUAAUACAUUA